UCUGCGGCUGCUGCUGCUGCUGCUGCUGCAGCAACAGUAGCAGCAGCAGCAGCAGCAGCAGUAGCAGCAGAGCGUUCAAGCCUACGCUGGGGCUGCAGCGGCGUGACUCGGCAUGACUGCAUGUUUACUAGCGGAGGGAA
rnacentral:snoRNA from 1 species